rnacentral:rRNA from 1 species
CCUACGGGCGGGCAGCAGUGAGGAAUAUUGGUCAAUGGCCGGAAGGCUGAACCAGCCAUGCCGCGUGAAGGUCAGUGCCCUAUGGGCGUUAAACUUCUUUUGUGCGGGAGCAAUAAUGGUCACGUGUGUCCAGACGAGAGUACCGUACGAAUAAGCAUCGGUUAACUCCGUGCCAGCAGCCGCGGUAAUACGGGGGAUGCAAGCGUUAUCCGGAUUUAUUGGGUUUAAAGGGUGCGUAGGCUGUGAGGAAAGUCAGCGGUGAAAUGCCCCCGCUCAACGGGGUGAAGUGCCAUUGAUACUGCCUUGCUUGAGUGCGGAUGCCGUGGGAGGAAUGUGUGGUGUAGCGGUGAAAUGCAUAGAGAUCACACAGAACACCGAUUGCGAAGGCAUCUCACGAAUCCGCGAUUGACGCUGAUGCACGAAAGCGUGGGUAUCAAACAGGAUUAGAUACCCUUGUAGUC